rnacentral:lncRNA from 1 species
UUAGUGUUGAAGCCUGUCUCCUAUUAGAGCAUACUGUAAAGAUACCCCCCACCCCGUGUUGCCCCCACUUCCAAAGUGAAAAUUACGUCCAUGAGCCCAGUCCCAACACUUGCACUUCGCCCUACGAUCUUCUGCGAAGUGCACUUGGAGGAAGUGCACAAGUGUGCAAAUAAAAGCCGAAUUGAGACGAGGAGCAUUGUGUCAUCGACUAACGCGUGCCACGAUGCUGGUCGCGGUGCCACUUUUUCAAAAACCUUUAAUGACUAAAACAACCAGUUAAUUGAAAUAAAUUUACAUUCAUCGCUGCUUUGCCUAAAACAUUCAGAGCACCAACUAAAUGAACUAUCAUUUAAAAAUGCAUAUUUUCACAAAAGGCAUUUGAGUGGAUCCACUUUUAUUUAUGCAACACAGGUUGCCUAAAACCCCCCCAAGGCGCUUUACAACACAGUAAUUAUGCACAUUUACAUGCUCACGUGUAAACAUGAUGCAUCACUGGGCGUGUGAAGCGUCUGUUUGCUACUGAGACUCCUCCGUAGUAAACACUAGUGAGAGUUUACUGCAGAGUGAACAUAUCGAGCCGCGCCUGAUAGCUUUUCCCACAAUGCAACGCGCGUGUGUCAUGGCUGCUCACUGAUGCCACUGUGGCCACAUGGAUGGAUAAAAACAUUUAGUGUGUGAUAGUGAAGCCGUGACUUGUUUCGGUGACCGAUCAGAUCAGAACUCGGAACCGCUGCCGGUUGGUGUUCGGCCAUGCUCGGAGUCGAGAUCCCGGUGCUCAGGGGCUUCCUGGCUCCCGGAGAGGCGGCGGAGUGGCAGCAGAACAUCAGUACUCUGGCAGGUUUAUCCCACCUGCCCAGUGAGAGCCCAGCUUGUGGGGGGAACCAUCACCUGGAUAUGUGGACCAUAAAGUACCAGGAUCCACCUGUCUAGUGUACCACGAUCUUCAUGUAAAUCAGGUGGUUUUCUAGUUAAACUAAAGACUUCACCAAGAGAACCAUUGUUGUUGGACAGCUCAGAGGUCUAACUGAUCAGCCGUUCAUAAAACACAACCCUAAAACACCAAGUAAGGAUUUAUAAAAGCACUGAAAUGGCUCUGCCCAUUACCAGCUGGUCUGUUCCCUUAAAAUUUUUUGAAUAACUCAACUUAAAGAUGAUGAUUUCAUUCACUGUCACAUGACUGAACAAUUAUAUAUAUAGAUAUAUACACACACACACACACACACACAGUGGGGCAAAAAAGUAUUUAGUCAGCCACCGAUUGUGCAAGUUCUCCCACUUCAAAUGAUGACAGAGGUCAGUAAUUUACAUCAUAGGUACACUUCAACUGUGAGAGACAGAAUGUGAAAAAAAAUCCAUGAAUUCACAUGGCAGGAUUUUUAAAGAAUUUAUUUGUAAAUCAGGGUGGAAAAUAAGUAUUUAAUCAAUAAUAAAAAUUCAACUCAAUACUUUGUAACAUAACCUUCGUUGGCAAUAACAGAGGUCAAACGAUUACUAUAGGUCUUUAUCAGGUUUGCACACACAGUAGCUGGUAUUUUGGCCCAUUCUUCCAUGCAGAUCUUCUCGAGAGCAGUGAUGUUU